GGUCGUGUAGCUGAGCAGGCCUGGGGCUUGGUUCUAUGUCCCUGUAGCUAUGUUUCCAGUGUCCUCUGGGUGUUUCCAAGAGCAACAAGAAACGAAUAAAUCUCUGCCCCGCAGCGCCUCCACCCCAGAGACCCGGACCAAGUUCACACAGGACAAUCUGUGCCACGCCCAGCGCGAGCGCCUGGACUCGGCCAACCUGUGGGUGCUGGUGGACUGCAUCCUUCGCGACACCUCCGAGGACCUGGGACUCCAGUGUGACGCCGUGAACCUGGCCUUCGGGCGCCGCUGUGAGGAACUGGAGGACGCGCGGCACAAGCUGCAGCACCACCUGCACAAGAUGCUGCGGGAAAUCACAGAUCAGGAACACAACGUGGUGGCACUGAAGGAGGCCAUCAAGGACAAGGAGGAACCUCUGCACAUAGCCCAGACCCGGCUGUAGUUGCUCUCACACCGGCCCAACAUGCAGCUGUGCCGCGAUGCAGCCCAGUUCAGGUGCUGAGAGGGGAGGGAGACUCUGCGGCCACACACAACAUGCAAGCACGCCUUAAACACACAGAUAUAGACAUGACACUGGGCAGGUCAUGGGUCGGGGGCCUCCCCGUGCCAGGGACCUGUGCCCACGUGGUCUCACCCCACCCUGUGCUACCUCAUCUUCCCGGGAGGAAGCUCCUUCAGACAAGGUGAGCUCCUGGAGGCCACGGGGCCAGAGAGGCCAGAGAGGGCCAUUCCCUGCUGCCCUGAGGGUGCUGUCCCCACCUCUGGUGGAAAGUAUGACCUACGCCUGGGCUACAGGCAUAGAUGGGCCGUCCUUUUGUUUCCCUUGUUAACGGAUGCCUGGUGGCCCCUUCUGAGCCUAAGUACCUUUCUUCCUUCCCUGCCCCUCAGUUCCUUCAAGGAACUGGGUGCCUCCUUCCGUCAAAUAUCAGGAAUGGAAAGAACUGAGCCUGGUCGGCUGAGGCCAGUCCUGUCCUGUCAGGGUCGAGAUUGCACGCGGGUCACUCAUUCCCACUCAGGCCCGCGCUCCCUGGGAGGACCCUCGUAAUUUAUGCUCUGCCCUAGAGCCGCUUUCCUGGUAGGAUCCUUUCAUGGCGUCUUCCCAGGACCUCCUGCCAGCUCCCAUUGGGAGUUUUGGGUCCCCUCCACCCCAGUAGGUGCAUACUUCUGCCCUCCCCAGCCCCAGCUCACACCCCCCAACACCCCCAAGCUGGUGAGUGAGGUGGAGGAGCUGUACAAGUCCAUCACAGCGCUGCGGGAGAAGCUUCUACAAGCGGAGCAGUCCCUGCGCAACCUCAAGGACAUCCACAUGAGCCUGGAGAAGGACGUCACUGCCAUGACCAACAGUCUCUUCAUCGACCGCCAGAAGUGCAUGGCCCAUCGUACUUGCUACCCCACCAUUCUGCAGCUGGCUGGCUACCAGUGAGCAGCGGCACGGUGCUUCCCCCCAAUCCCCCAAAUAAACAGUGCGUUAGCUUUCUG
ensembl:lncRNA TEKT4P2 tektin 4 pseudogene 2